UUAGAAUUACUAUCAAUAACAAUAAAAAGAUUUUAUAUUACUUGAUAACUUAAAAGUAAAAAUAAAGUGAAUUAAUAAGUUAACUGAUUUAUAAGGUUAAGCUAAAAAGAAUCCUUACAACCUCAAAGGGACAAAAGGUCACAAAAAUUAGCAAACUAGAUAUAUAGCUUAAUUAAUGUCCAUAAAAUCUCAAAAUAGUCUACCAGCAGUAUGUAUUAUCAUUAGCAUAAUAAAAGAGAUGCUACUCAAAAGAUAACUAGCACACUUAACGAAAAUAGAUAUAUGACUUAACUAAUGUCUAUAAAUCUCAAAAUAGUCUACCAAAAAUGCAUAUUAUUAUCGGCACAAUAAGGAGAUGCUAAUUAAAAGAUAACCAACAGCCUAAUUCUGUGAGGCAUUAGAACCACCCACCAUCUGCAUCAACAAGUUCUUGCGAAAUGCAGGAGGACAUCCAAGCAAACCUCGUAACAUGUCAGGCUUUUGAAUAAAAAACAAAUAACAAGUAGAUAAGAGAUGUGACUCAACACUUAGUUCUUCCAAUAAAGUCCAUGUUUCAUUCUCUGAAAUUGGAAGCUUGGUGGCUUUGACAAACUCAAUUGUAGAAUUCAUAAGUGCUUGCGCAACAUUAUCAAGUCCCUCCUUUAAUACAACAACUUCUUCAUCAACCUUUGAUCUUUUAGCAGUUUUAUUCCUUAAUAAAUUUUUAGAUUGAGAAUGAGAUUGGGAUCUUUCCAUUCCAAUAGGUUCCUCAGAUGCUAUAUUUUGUGCUUCUUCAAAUGGUCCAUUAAAAUUUUCUAAGGUGACUUCAUUUUCUGAUACCAAGAAAUCAACAUCAUCAAUGUUAUUCACUUGAGAAGCUUUUGUCUCUCCUUCUCUAGCCCUCCUUUGCCUCAUCUCUGCUGCAGUUUCAGCAUGCUUUCCACUAGCCCUAUCAUUCCCAUAAAGUAGACACAACUUUUCAUAGUUUCGAAUUGUUUUGUUCAUCCAAGCAGCAACUUCAGGUUUAACUUAAUUAAUUGCUCCCAAACUUCUGGCUCAGCUAUAAACAUUUCAGAUAUUGGAUCCCAAGCAAAACCACUCAUGCCAUUCUUGAAAAUAUCAUAAGCUGGAAACCAACAUCUCUUUAUAUGCUUCAUACGAUUCUUAACUUUUUCCUUAUCAAUUGGUUGAUCAGGAAAUUUUUGUUUCACUUCCUUUGCAAUAUUCCCCAAAGCAGUUACAGUGAAAGUUCCAUUCACUCUAAAGCCUUGUUGAUGUUGAUUUACAUAUGCAUCAAUUAGAGUAUCAUCCAUUGGUUUACUCCAAAAGCAUUGUGUAUUUCCACCAACUGACUUCCCUUCAUUAUUUAGUGGCUGCUUUCUUUUUGACAUCCUCAGAACUACAUGAAAUUGAUAAGCACAUAAGAGAAGUUGACAAAAAGAAUAAUUGCACAAAACACAAUAAAAAAUUCUAACAAUAAUGUAACCAAUAAUAAUUAUACAAAACACAAUACAAAAAGUUCACAUUUAUUUUUAAUAAAAGAUUAACAACUUAAAAUGUUAAUACAAGAAAAAUAAUUAUAUGUAACACAUAGAAACUUGGA
rnacentral:misc_RNA from 1 species